AUGAUUCAAGAGUACAAUCCGAGUAUUGAAUAUACUCCAGGCAAGGCCAAUGUCAUUGCAGAUGCUUUGAGCAGGAAGGCUUAUUGCAACAGCUUAAUUCUCAAGCCAUUCCAACCGGAUCUUUGUGAAGCUUUUCGCAAGCUGAAUCUCCAAGUUGUUCCUCAAGGCUUUCUUGCCAACCUCAUAGUCUCUCCUACUUUGGAAGAUCAAAUUCGUGAGGCACAACUCCUGGAUACCAUGGUGAAAAAGGUGAAACGUGGUAUCGACAAGGGUCUUUCAAAAUACAAGUGCUAUCGCAUUGAUGACAGAGACACUUUAUUCUUCGAGGACCGGAUUGUGGUUCCUAAAGGUGAUCUAAGGAAAGUCAUUAUGAACGAGGCGCACAAUUCUCUUCUUUCCAUUCAUCCUGGAAGUACGAAGAUGUACCAUGACCUCAAGCAGUCGUAUUGGUGGACUCGAAUGAAGCGAGAAAUCACUCAAUUCGUGAAUGAAUGUGAUGUCUGUCAAAGAGUGAAAGCAGAACACCAACGACCAGCUGGUCUCCUCCAACCUCUUGCUAUCCGAGAAUGGAAGUUUGAUCAUAUCGAAAUGGACUUCGUGACUGGAUUUCCAAAGUCCAAGCAUGGAAAUGAUGCUAUCUUCGUUGUCAUCGACAAGCUUACUAAAGUGGCUCAUUUCCUUCCAAUCAAAGAAUCUAUCACAACAGCUCAGUUGGCAGAGCUAUACACCUCCAGGAUUGUCUCCUUGCACGGCAUUCCACAAUUGAUUUCUUCAGAUCGUGGAAGCAUCUUCACUUCUAAGUUCUGGGACUCCUUUCAGAAGGCCAUGGGCACCAACAUUCGCUUCAGCAUAGCUUUCCAUCCUCAAACUAGUGGCCAAGUCGAGCGAGUAAAUCAAAUUCUUGAAGAUAUGCUCAGGGCUUGUGUCAUUUCCUUUGGCAUGAAAUGGGAAGAUUGUCUUCCAUAUGCCGAAUUCUCCUACAACAACAGCUUCCAAGCGAGUUCGGGCAAGGCCCCAUUCGAAAUCCUCUAUGGCAUAAAGUGUCGUACUCCUCUCAAUUGGUCAGAGACUGGUGAACGUCAACUUCUUGGCAAUGACUUAAUCACUGAGGCUGAAGAAAUGUGUAACAUCAUCCGUGAAAAUCUCAAAGCCGCGCAAUCGCGCCAGAAGAGUUACUAUGAUAGUAAGCACCCUGAUUUGGCUUUCGAGAUCGGAGACCAUGUCUACCUCCUCGUCUAUCCAAUGAAAGGCACUCUUCACUUCGGUAUCAAAGGGAAGCUUGCCCCUAGAUAUGUGGGUCCUUUCAAGAUCAUUGGUAAAAGAGGCGACCUCGCCUAUCAACUUGAGCUUCCCUCCAACUUCGCGAACGUGCACGAUGUGUUCCACGUGUCACAGCUUCGCAAGUGCUUCAAGACUCCUGAGCGCACCAUGAACUUCGAAGAGAUUGACCUCCAAGAAGAUCUGUCUUAUCAUGAGCACCCCGUUGCUAUUCUUGAAGAAACUGAGCGCAAGACUCGCAACAAGUCAAUCAAAUUCAUGAAAGUGAAGUGGUCGCACCAUUUCGACCGAGAAGCCACCUGGGAACGCGAGGACCACCUCCGUUCCGAAUAUCCGGGGUUCUUUCAGUCCUAG
rnacentral:rRNA from 1 species